rnacentral:pre_miRNA from 1 species
UAUCCGCAGGCUGGCCACCCCCCAGGUUGGGCUGGUUGAGUAUCUUUUCGAGAGGCUCACUCUCAAGCAUGACUAGGAGC